UACGUAGGGUGCGAGCGUUAAUCGGAAUUACUGGGCGUAAAGCGUGCGCAGGCGGUUCGUUAAGUCAGCUGUGAAAGCCCCGGGCUCAACCUGGGAAUGGCAAUGGAAACUGGCGGGCUGGAGUAUGGCAGAGGGGGGUGGAAUUCCGCGUGUAGCAGUGAAAUGCGUAGAGAUGCGGAGGAACACCGAUGGCGAAGGCAGCCCCCUGGGCCAAUACUGACGCUCAGGCACGAAAGCGUGGGGAGCAAACAGG
rnacentral:rRNA from 1 species